GACAGAGCCGGACCCCGUAUCAAGAAAGAAAGAGAAAAGAAAAAGAACCAAAGAAAAAGAAAAGUCACCAUCGCACGGUUAAGUCUGCCUUGCUACAGCUAAACAGUGACUUCCUAGGACCAAGAAAUCGCAGCCAGGGCUAGACCGAUGCCCUAAAUCGGGACUUGCUUAGGCUGAGAAAUCACAUUUUGGCUAGUUAUUUGGACAAGAGGUAGAAAUAGCGGGCACCGCGAAAUCGAAACUUGCUAGGACCAAGAAGCCAACGACGGGCGAAACCGCAGGGGCCUGCGAUAGAGACGCCAGCGGCGCCGCCGGGGGACUGGGUUCAGGAGGCCGAGCAGGAACCCGUGCGUCGGCGCUCGCGGCGCUGUGAAGAGACGGCGUCCGCGCAGCUCCUCUGCCUCUGGCUCGGAGGAGCGGCGGGCUCCCCCGCCCAGCGCCGGCGUCGCCCGGGAACCCCAGACUCUGCGCAACUGGCUGCGAUUCCAAAUCCCUCAGAUCGGCUACCAGAGCGCUGCCGCCACCGAGAAAAUGGAGGCACCGAGGAACAAGAUGUGCCGCGACCAAGAGAACUCGGCUUGGCGAAAUGGCGGUGCUGGGACCCUAAGAGUGACGCCAGCCGGAGGAGUUCCCAAGGACAACAUCCAUUUUGGCGGAACCAACGGUGUUGUCACGCAGAAAAUGUCGACCCUCGGAAAAGAGAGGUUCUGCGACCGAGAAAUUCGGUGCAACAAGUGCUGUGACAGAAAACCCCCCGCUCGGCGCUGCUGGCGAAAGAGCCAACAAAACGCUGGGUGCUGCCACCGUGACACCGACUUUAGGACCCCGGCCUCGGAUGGAGAAAGGAGGGUACGGAGCCACCACAUAACUUCCUAAUGUCUUCAAAUAGCGAAAGUGCUAGCCGGAAACUGCCGGCUGGGUUUACCUAUUGGUGCUCGUGUGGGACUAGCAGAUUCGAGAAACCAGCGGGACUGGAACCUAGUACACUUCGGCAGUUGAGAAAUGACUUACCAGGACAAAUACUGCUUCUGGCUCGAUGGUGCUGCCCAUGAACAUCCGCCGGCUCUGAGAAACGAGCUGCACUGUCAGUGAGAAACCGUGGGCACUGAGAAACGAGCGGACUGCAACUGAUAACUGCCCACCCAGUGCCACUACGACAAAGUGCUGCUGGCACUACUCCCACCCUCCGUCCUCAAAUCAGUCCCCUCCCGCCUAAGAAGACCUUUAUUUUUCCUAGCGAAGUCAUACUGAGGGCCCCAUCAACCGAUCCCUUGCGAUGCGCAUGGGAAAAGGAGGCAGUAUAGGGACCGAGAAUCGGGCGGAUUGGGCUGGCCCUGGUAACAAAAGCCAUCCGGGUCGCCAACCGUCUUCCACUGCAAGAAACAAACCUUCCAGUGGCUGGGCUCCGCCCUUCUCCUUGGUCAGAGCCCUCCAGGCUCCUAAGGGCGAAGCCGACACCUCAUCCCUUUGGAACUUGAAGUUCUCAGUCCAAGACCUCCGUGGAGAGUGAAAGACUCAAUGCCUCCUGACCGAGGCUUCAGGCCUGCCCCGGCAGCUAGGUACCUCUCCAGGGGAUGGAACUCUGUGGGAACUGCUAUUUAAUUCUGAUGGUUAACUCUGUCAGAUGGCCUUGAUAUAUGGGAAUAAUCGUUGCAGGAGGGUAGGGGAAAUAAGAAUCGCAAGACUCUAGCACAGGACGUGUGGAUUGAUGGAAACCUGAAACUGCCAUUGAGCAGAAGGAAAACAUCCCUUUCCAGAACCUUUCUCGUUUUUCUAAAAAUCUGCACUUUUGGAAGUGAUCCCCCAAAGAGACCUCCAGACUCUACCAUGAGUGUCUCCAGCUGAACUCAUCGUGUCUAAUCCUCACCCUAGCUUAUCCUGUUCAAAUCAUUUCCAUCUUUUUCUGGAUGAACCUGGGCGGAUGUCAGACCAGAGAAGAGCACAGAAUGUACCAGAGAGGACAACAACUCGGGAUCCACCUAACACGGGUACAAAGAAGGCUGUAACACGGGAAGCAGCUGUUGGGCCAAACCAGCCCUGGAGCUGUAGGCCAGAGCAAGACCACAGGACUGACAGAGCUGUUAACACGCUGACAUCUUUCGGGCUGCAGAGGGCGGGACUGAAAGAGCUAUUAGCAUGUUGUAACACCCACUCUGGGGCUUUGGGGUCACGGGCAUCCCUGUUUGGGUGCCAUCACAUUCCCCUCAUCUGGAUGCCAGAGUCCACCAUAGGAGUCACUUGCAACAUGCCUGGUCCAGCCACAAGUCCCACACAGAGCCUGCUCCUGUGCUGGUGCUUGGAGCUACCAGUGGAACCCCACACUCACUAGCUCACACACCCCUCCUGCCAGGGGCUGAGUGCACAGUCAUGGUGGCCACAGGAUCUGCACCAGAGGACAUGCCAGGCACAGCCCAGCAAACCGAGUAGAUGGGGCAUCUCCUGUGGUUAGCCUGGGCUCCAGCAAGGCCUAGGUAGGGCAUCGCCAGCCAGAGGUCUCUGGCUGGCAAAGUUGCUGAGAAACAUCCUAUGUCAUUAAGGAGAUGGGGAGGGGCAGAGGGGCACUUAUGGAAAUAUGAAUGAUUUUUUUUUUUGAGACAGAGUCUCUCUCUGUCGCCCAGGCUGGAAUGCAGUGGCGUGAUCUUGGCUCACUGCAAGCUCUGCCUCCGGGGUUCAUGCCAUUCUCCUGCCUCAGCCUCCCGAGUAGCUGGGACUACAGGUGCCCGCAACCACACCCAGCUAAUUUUUUGUAUUUUCAAUAGAGACAGGGUUUCACUGUGUUAGCCAGGAUGGUCUCGAUCUCCUGAACUCGUGAUCCAUCCUCCUCAGCCUCCCAAGGUGCUGGCAUUACUGGCAUGAGCCACUGCACCAGCCACAAAUGAUAUUUUAGAAGAUAAAUGGUCCUUUAGAAGAAUAGAUAAAAGAUAUGACAGUUUUUAGAGAAUGUCUUUUUUUGGGUAGGGUGGGUGUAAUCACCCAAUGGUUUCAUCUUGCCCAUUGUCCACAAAGGCCAAUGCACUGAGAACAGCAGCUUUUUUGCAGCAAAGAAAGACUUCAAUAAUUGCAGGGCU
rnacentral:lncRNA from 1 species